CCCCAAGCUUACUCGCAUUCUCCGCAAGACUUUCUUCCUCUAAAAUUUUAACUGCUUCUAUAGCGACUCUGUUACCAAGCGGACUUCCACCGAAAGUGCUACCGUGAGAUCCAGUUUCUAGGCACAUUAUUAUCUAAGGAAAUAGCAGGUUAAAUAAGAAUUUGGUCUUGAAAGGAUCAAUAACGUGUUGCUAUUGUUUCCACUGCAGUUAUGUUUACCUGUUCGUCCGCUAAAAUACCGGAAACAGGAUACAAUCCGCCAGACAAUGCCUUUCCUAGCACGAGAAUAUCCGGCCGUUGAUUUUCGUGAUCUACCGCCAAUCGUUUGCCCGUUCUGCAUAAACCAGUUUGUACUUCGUCAGCGAUCCAUAACACAUUGUAUUUGUUGCACAGGUCUCGUACACCUUUCAAGUAGCCAUCCUACAUCGAAAUGAAAGUUUAGGAUUUGGAAAGACGAGAAAUGGAACUCCAAUUACUGAAACUAUUCGUCACAGAUCUAUACGAUCCAAAAUGGGUAUUAUAUCUGUCUGUUAUCUAUUCGACCAUUUGUCUAUUCAAGUCUGAUGGAAGAUGAAAAUAACAUACAUUCGGUAUUAUGACACCCGCUUCUCCUUGAAUUGGUUCCAUCAUGUACGCGCAAACAGUUGGAUCCUGCUUAAAUUUUUCUUCCAAAGCGUUGAGAUGCAGACAACGCGGCUAUAGAACGUCCCCAGAAGUUCCCUUUUGCGAAGACCACGGUUGCUUGUUCCGGAGGUAUCUUCUUUACUCUGUAAGCCCAACGUCUAGCAACCUUAAUGGCAGUAUCGCCUGCUUCGACUCCUGUAAUGCA